UACGUAGGUGGCGAGCGUUGUCCGGAAUUACUGGGUGUAAAGGGCGUGUAGGCGGGACUGUAAGUCAGAUGUGAAAUUCCAGGGCUUAACUCUGGAGCUGCAUCUGAAACUAUGGUUCUUGAGUGCUGGAGAGGGAAGCGGAAUUCCUAGUGUAGCGGUGAAAUGCGUAGAGAUUAGGAGGAACACCAGUGGCGAAGGCGGCUUUCUGGACGAUAACUGACGCUGAGGCGCGAAAGCGUGGGGAGCAAAC
rnacentral:rRNA from 1 species